AGGCGUUCUCAGGGCGGGGCGAAAUUCCCCACCGGCGGUAUGUGGACCAGUUCACGAGCCCGCGAGCGGCCCAAUUUUUGGGUGUCAGCAGAUCUGGUGAGAGGCCAGAGCCGACGGUUAAAGUCCGGAUGGAAGAGAAUGAAG
rnacentral:ncRNA from 2 species